rnacentral:rRNA from 1 species
CACCGGCAGCUCUAGUGGUAGCUGUUUUUAUUGGGCCUAAAGCGUUCGUAGCCGGUUUGAUAAGUCACUGGUGAAAUCCUGUAGCUUAACUGUGGGAAUUGCUGGUGAUACUGUUGAACUUGAGGUCGGGAGAGGUUAGCGGUACUCCCAGGGUAGAGGUGAAAUUCUGUAAUCCUGGGAGGACCACCUGUGGCGAAGGCGGCUAACUGGAACGAACCUGACGGUGAGGGACGAAAGCUAGGGGCGCGAACCGGAUUAGAUACCCCUGUAGUCCCUGAGCGGGCU